CACGUGGGUAACCUGCCUGUAAGACUGGGAUAACUCCGGGAAACCGGAGCUAAUACCGGAUAGUUCCUUGAACCGCAUGGUUCAAGGAUGAAAGACGGUUUCGGCUGUCACUUACAGAUGGACCCGCGGCGCAUUAGCUAGUUGGUGGGGUAAUGGCUCACCAAGGCGACGAUGCGUAGCCGACCUGAGAGGGUGAUCGGCCACACUGGGACUGAGACACGGCCCAGACUCCUACGGGAGGCAGCAGUAGGGAAUCUUCCGCAAUGGACGAAAGUCUGACGGAGCAACGCCGCGUGAGUGAUGAAGGUUUUCGGAUCGUAAAGCUCUGUUGUUAGGGAAGAACAAGUGCGAGAGUAACUGCUCGCACCUUGACGGUACCUAACCAGAAAGCCACGGCUAACUACGUGCCAGCAGCCGCGGUAAUACGUAGGUGGCAAGCGUUGUCCGGAAUUAUUGGGCGUAAAGGGCUCGCAGGCGGUUUCUUAAGUCUGAUGUGAAAGCCCCCGGCUCAACCGGGGAGGGUCAUUGGAAACUGGGAAACUUGAGUGCAGAAGAGGAGAGUGGAAUUCCACGUGUAGCGGUGAAAUGCGUAGAGAUGUGGAGGAACACCAGUGGCGAAGGCGACUCUCUGGUCUGUAACUGACGCUGAGGAGCGAAAGCGUGGGGAGCGAACAGGAUUAGAUACCCUGGUAGUCCACGCCGUAAACGAUGAGUGCUAAGUGUUAGGGGGUUUCCGCCCCUUAGUGCUGCAGCUAACGCAUUAAGCACUCCGCCUGGGGAGUACGGUCGCAAGACUGAAACUCAAAGGAAUUGACGGGGGCCCGCACAAGCGGUGGAGCAUGUGGUUUAAUUCGAAGCAACGCGAAGAACCUUACCAGGUCUUGACAUCCUCUGACAACCCUAGAGAUAGGGCUUUCCCUUCGGGGACAGAGUGACAGGUGGUGCAUGGUUGUCGUCAGCUCGUGUCGUGAGAUGUUGGGUUAAGUCCCGCAACGAGCGCAACCCUUGAUCUUAGUUGCCAGCAUUUAGUUGGGCACUCUAAGGUGACUGCCGGUGACAAACCGGAGGAAGGUGGGGAUGACGUCAAAUCAUCAUGCCCCUUAUGACCUGGGCUACACACGUGCUACAAUGGACAGAACAAAGGGCUGCGAGACCGCAAGGUUUAGCCAA
rnacentral:rRNA from 1 species